UUGCUUUGGCAGCACAUAUACUAAAAUUAGAAUAAUACAGAGAAGAUUAGCAUGACCUAUGUGCAAGGAUGACACAUGAAAAACAGAUCAGCCAAAAAUGAGG
rnacentral:snRNA from 1 species